rnacentral:rRNA from 1 species
GUGAGGAAUAUUGGACAAUGGGCGCAAGCCUGAUCCAGCCAUGCCGCGUGCAGGAAGACGCAUCUAUGGUGUGUAAACUGCUUUUGUACGGGAAGAAACACUCCCUCGUGAGGGAGCUUGACGGUACCGUAAGAAUAAGGAUCGGCUAACUCCGUGCCAGCAGCCGCGGUAAUACGGAGGAUCCAAGCGUUAUCCGGAAUCAUUGGGUUUAAAGGGUCCGUAGGCGGUUUGGUAAGUCAGUGGUGAACGCCCGCAGCUCAACUGUGGAACGGCCAUUGAUACUGCCAGACUUGAAUUACAAGGAAGUAACUAGAAUAUGUAGUGUAGCGGUGAAAUGCUUAGAUAUUACAUGGAAUACCAAUUGCGAAGGCAGGUUACUACUUGUGGAUUGACGCUGAUGGACGAAAGCGUGGGGAGCGAACAGGAUUAGAAACCCGGGUAGUCC